rnacentral:tRNA from 1 species
GCCCCUGUGGCCAAAUGGAUAAGGCAUCGGUCUCCUAAACCGGGGAUUGUGGGUUCGAGUCCCACCAGGGGUA